rnacentral:tRNA from 1 species
AGCGGGGUAGAGUAAAGGUCAACUCAUCAGGCUCAUGAUCUGAAGAUUGCAGGUUCGAAUCCCGCCCCCGCCU